rnacentral:lncRNA from 1 species
UAUUCAAUAUAAUUUCAUAAUAAUAUCACAAUUUAAACAUCAAAAGAAUCAUGCAAAUUCAGGUUGUGGGUUUUAUUUCCUUCAUUCCCCAAAAUCUUAAUGAUUUAAUUGAAGACCUUGGUGCAAGAACCGGGCAAGUCCAUUUUCCUUAUAAAAUGAGUUAAACAUAUCAACCCAUAUAAAUUUAAAUUGCACGUCUUUUGGUGCAAGAAUCAGGCAAGACCCUGGCAUAUAGUGAAAAAUAUAAAGGCAAAGGACAAAAACCGCCGCGCCGCUCUAACCAGUUUAGUAUGCUUUUGGCUCGUUUAUCGUUAGUUAAUUUGUUGGUUUAAUAUUGUUUAUCUUUAAAGUACAUGUCUAGCUUUUAAAUAGGCCAUGUCAGUGCAAGAUUCGGAACCUUUUCAAAGUUCGGGAAGUGAAUAUGUUCCAACCAUAAGCAGGUGAACCUGGAACACAUAGGGGGAUACGUAAAACUAAAUUACGUGUCCGGAAACAACCACAAAAGGCAGAAAAUGUUAAAAAAGGUUGAAAACGUCCGAGGCGUGAAUAUGAAUGGGACAGUAAUGUUUGUAAAAUUUCAAGAGCCAGUGGAUAUGAAUACGUAAAUACUGGUAUAAAAGUCGUGCCGAAAAGAGUGAUUGUGUUUGUCCACGACGGUGCUUCUUAAAUAUAUCUCAGCAAACCAGGCAAUCAGUUUUAGAAACUUUUAAUAAACUAGCAGAUAAGGAGAAACAAGACUUAUAUUUAGCGGGGCUAAUCUCGUCAAAACUGAUAGCUCGUAAACGUCCAAGGACCGGUGAAGGAACGCAAAAAUCUGUUUCUCAUACAUUAAGAUACGAGUGGGCUCCGAAUAAUAUCAAGUGUGCAGAAAAGCUUUUAUGGCCAUUCAUGGCAUCACCAAACAUCGAGUGGACCGAUUAGCUUCUCGUUUAAUGAGAAACAUAACACCGUCAGCUGAUAAGAGAGGAAAGCACGAAAAUCGUCCUAAUAAAAUACCCUGUCAAAUAAAAACGCAAAUAGAUAACCACAUAAAAAGUUUCCCCAGAAGAAGUUCUUACUACAGCCGAGAAAAAAAUGAUGGAAAGUACUACUUACCUUCAGAUUUGAAUAUUUUAAAGAUGCAUAUGAUGUAUCUAAAAAAAUAUGAGCCAGCUGUUUAUCAAUGUCUUGCCAGCGGCGAACAAUGUCAACCAGAGGUCACAUAUGACUUUUACUACCGCCACUUUAUAUCGAACUAUAAUAUCAGCUUUGGUGUGCCCCUGUCCGACACAUGCCAAACCUGUGAUCGCUUAGUUAACCAAAUAGCUGGGAAGGCUAAUAAUGAAAACAAAGUAGCUUUGCAAACUGAAAAGACCGUCCAUUUAAGUAAGGCAAAGUAUUUUACACAAAUCUUAAACAAAAAAGUGCACUUGCCAAGGAGAAUCCUAAUGUGGAGACGUUAUGCUUUGACUACCAACAAAAUUGUUAUAAAAAUUUUCUAUUAAUAAACGAUAAAAAAGUAAAGGAUUGCAAGAGUUUGGUCCAAAAAUAUGUCCCAGCCGCUUAUCAAGAUUUUUAUAAGACUCUUCGGAGAUUUGGCUACAGACUAACCUGAAGAGAAUCCACCCGAAACCGCUGAGGAGAAUGAAGGAUAUGAAACUGAUUCCUCACUAAUUUAAGAAUGAAACACUGUUAAUUUUUAAAAACAAUAAACAUUUUUUCAAAAUAU